GCUGACAAGUCUGUUUAGCACUUCUUCAUACACUGGAAAAAUGGAUAAAAUCAGAUGAUAAUCACGCCCAUUCCCCAUAUAAAGGUUAUGUUGAAGACUACUAAAAGUGCGAUAACUCGCUAAAUAAAUGCACCAGAAUUAUUAAAUCUCGCAUCCAAAAGGCCGUCUUCGACAGCACGAAAGGAACUACUUCAAAGCCGCUAUGUCGGAACUUUGCGUCACUGCAAAGCCAAUACGGUUGUGAAAGCUGACGUUGAUUAACACCAAAAGCUCCGACAGGGUCGGAAAGGGCCUCUCCGAUCCGUUUGAUACUAAGCGAGGUUUAAGACAGUUAGACUCUCUAUCGUGUGACUUCUUCAAUCCAUGCCUGAAAAAAAUAAAACCAGCAGCAGAGCUAAAUAGAGAAGACUAGAUAAGGAAGCGAAGCGUAUGGGGCUGCUUGCGAGCGAGGAUAAGACGAAAUAUCUCCUGUCAUCAAAAAAACAGUCAUCAUUCCGAAAGAAUCCUGUAUUAGCUAUGAGAUGGAAAAACAUAUUGAGUUAUGUUUCGACACCAUUUUAUGAAGGCAACGCACACUUUGAUCGACAUUUGCGGCAUAAAGUUUGCUAAAAUAACGAAAAUCGUUGUAUGGUAGCUGAGAUAAUUCGUUGACCAUUUUUAUACUCUCGCAACAAUGUUGCUAACGAGAGUAUUAUAGUUUUGUUCACAUAACGGU